rnacentral:misc_RNA from 1 species
CCACAUCGGCCACCGAAGGCGGAAAGAUCUGGGCUGCGAUCGCCCUGCUGUUCGACGGCGUCAAAUCCGUGCUUCAGCGCUACACGUUCGUGCUGUUCGCGGCGCCGCGUCCCACCGUGUUCCUCACCUGGNNNNNNNNUCUAUGCGUGGCUCAGGGGCGAGCGGCAGACCGCAAUUCAGGCGGCUGUUCUGCUGCUCUC